rnacentral:tRNA from 1 species
GCCAGUGUAGCUUAAAUAAAGCAUAACACUGAAGAUGUUAAGAUGAGGCCUAU